rnacentral:rRNA from 1 species
CAGAGGGGGGUGGAAUUCCACGUGUAGCAGUGAAAUGUGUAAAGAUGUGGAGGAACACCAAUGGCGAAGGCAGCCCCCUGGGUCGAUACUGACGCUCAUGCACGAAAGCGUGGGUAGCAAACAGGAUUAGAUACCCUGGUAGUCCACGCCCUAAACGAUGUCAACUAGGUGUUGGGAGGGUAAAACCUUUUAGUGCCGUAGCUAACG